GCAAUCUACCUUUUACAGAGGGAUAGCCCAGAGAAAUUUGGAUUAAUACCUCAUAGUAUUACGAAAUGGCAUCAUUUUGUAAUUAAAGUCACAACGGUAAAAGAUGAGCAUGCGUCCCAUUAGCUAGUUGGUAAGGUAACGGCUUACCAAGGCUACGAUGGGUAGGGGUCCUGAGAGGGAGAUCC
rnacentral:rRNA from 1 species